UGAGCGUGUGAGCACAGGGCACGUGUAAAAGAAGCCAGGGAUGGCUCUCUGAACACGGCUGACCUCAGUGGGGUGUGGAGAGUUGUUCCAGCAGUGUGCCGGAGAAGGGAUGAAUGCCGGGACGAGCACAAAGGCUGCUGUUGGCAGAUCUGCGCGAAGGCGCCACAUCGCAGCGAUGGUACUGUUCUCAGCUGUGCUGCUGUCUGCGCUGGUGCUGGCCUGUGGUGCUGUGAUAUGGAUGUGCCAAAAAUACGUAGUGUGCAAGAGAGAAGAGAGAGCAGCAGAGCAGGCUCAUCCUGAUACCAACUAGGAGAGAGUUCCAACUGGAGACGAGGGCAGAACGGAGCUGGGAGAGGCAGCCGAAGAGACUCUUGCCCCAUCAAAGAAGAAUCUCAGCCAUCGUCCCAGUGCAUUCCAUUCUGCCAUCCAAGAGGCCAAAGGUCUUCAAAGUCAUCUGGAAGACUUGGAGCUUGAACUCAAAGCCGUGAAAGAGGUCCACGGGAACAGUCCUGAGUGCUGCUUUCUGUCAGGGGACGGCCCUGAAAGUGAGAGCGGAGAACCAGCAGCAGAGCUUUUGUCCUUCACCCUGCAUUCUCUGGGACAAGCAUCAGCAACAUUUCAAAGAUUCUUAGCUCGGCACAGCUACAAUCCUGUUGAGGGUCCUAAUGAGGAGCCAGAAAGCGAGCUUCCUCUGACCGCUGGACAACACCUUAACGUCUUUGGAGCUGUGGAUGAGAAUGUCUGGUUUCAGGGAGAGCUGACAGAUGGCACAAGAGGACUGGUCCCAUCCAGUUUGGUUGCGGAGGUUUCAGAUGAUGAACUGGAUACAACGAUGCCUCCGGAGCUCUGUGCUCUCCUGCUGGAUACUUGAUGAAUAAGUGGAUGCAGAGAUUCCAUCAUGCAGCAACAUCCUGUCAAAAUUCCUGCGUUACUCCAUCUGCAGGACUACCCCCUGCUCCACUUGAUGUUCAGGUGGAGUGUGUGCAGGACGUGGAUGAGCUCCUUUGGGAACACUCUGAGGUGACUGACAGUGUAACUGCAUAGUCUUGUGGUAUAUUAAACAAACAAACAAACAAACACCACCCACAAUAAAACAACCAACCAACCAACCCAAAAAGCGCUGCUCUUUUUCUUGGAUACACUGAGGUGAUCCUUUUUCUAGCUGAGACUUUGCAAUGAGUCUUGAAGCAGAUUUGAGCCGGUAGAAGUUGGCAGUGUCUGCAUUCCGUUCUCCUGAUUUCCUUGCUGGUCAGAGUUAAGGUGCCAUGCAUCCAUUCCCCAGCCCUAGCUGUCUCCUGAAUCAUGAGAACAGCCUUUCCAUAUUGUGGAAAGAACUGGAGUGGAUUCACGCUGAAGGACAAGAUGCUUGCAGACACGUAAGCUCAAGAAGAGAAUGCAGAGUCCACGGAAACUCGCUGCCAAACAACGAUGAGAAAGUAGAAUAGGCUCCUGUUGUUGAAGAUGGGACGGUGAAACAGAUGUCUCAGCUCAACACAACGCCAGUAGGAGCUGGUUCGGGCUACCCCCCCUUAAAAGGUCGGAAGUUCACAGCGAGGUAGACUACGAGCCUUCAUCCACUGACCGCCAGAGACCCCCACCACAUUUUUAGGACGCGUGCUCAAGAGGGUGGGACAAUACGUUAAUAGUUUCUCAGAAUUCCAGCCCAUUUUUGUGGAACGUAAUGAAUAUGUGGAUGUUAUGUCUGUAAGUAUGUAACCAGUGCUUUUCUCUGUGUGCGAGUUAGGAGGAGAUAUCCCCCCCCGCACCCGGCGCCGUAAUGAGCGUACCUGCUUUGUAACCUUACGUGGGUUCCAGAGUUUGAUUCCACACGUCACUCCCUUCACUAUUAAGAGGACAAAGAACUUCUGGCACAGAAGGAUGCCCACCUGCAAGGCUCAAAUUGCACGCUGCUUCCUCCCUCUCUGCUCAGUAAAACUCUGUGUUGGGCUCAUUUGGAAGGAAGGUUUGGUGUUCUGACUUCCUGGACAGUUGUUACCUAAAGCCUGGAGUGCCUGUGUCAACUGUGGCGGUGCAACUGCCACACCUUCUCUCCCCCUUCUCUCAGGCCUCUCGGUGCACCACUUCUCCUGAGACAAAAGGCGGAGGACCGGUACGUGGAGGUACUCCUCCUCUUCCCUUGCCCCUGCUUGCCUCUGGGUAGCAAGGGGCAAUGAAUUGGAACAUUAGGGGAUGCCCUAGUUGUAUCUGACUCCUGCUUUGCGCCCCACUGCCCAGGAACAAUCCUGGGGUCAAGUCGUCGUCUGACAGCCUGGGACGCGUGAACACGAAUCACGGCUCAGGUGGGGUAGCGUGGAAUCCGUGAGUCCAGCAAGUUCUGGGGUUUGCACAACUGGUAGAAAGAACCAGAAGAUUUUGCCAUGCGAGGGGGCUGGUAUGGAAAAGUAGCCGUCAGAUCUCCAUCGUCUCAGACCCUAUAACUAGAGAUUCAAAGCGAGUGUUAAUCAAUAUCUGAAGGGAAGUGGGAGGAAAAUGGAUGAGGCCAGGCUCUUCUCGGUGGUGCGUAGCGGAGGACAAUGAGCAGUGGCCUAGAACUUGAGCACAGGAAGUUCCAUGCAAACAUGUGGAAGACCUUCUUUACGGUAAGGGUGGGGGAGCCCUGGGACGGGUUGCCCAGAGAGGUGGUGGAGGUUAUGACCAGCAUCUCCUCUGGGUUGGGAUGCCUCUCAGGUACUGCCAAAUCCUCGAGGCCCUCUACCAAUGAUAGUGUACCAAGGAUAGUCUACUGUGCUGUGAUCUUCAGGGACGUUUUCAACACAAGCCAUCCUAUUGUUCUGUGAUCUUCAAGGACACUUCCAACGUACAAAAAUCCAGUGGUUCUGUGAUCUUCAGGGAGCCAUGCAACACAAACCAUUCCAGCGUUGUGUGAUUUUAGAAGCUGGACGUGAGCCAGCAGUGUGUGCUGGCAGCCCGGAAGGCCAAGUGUGUUCUGGGCUGCGUUAAGAAAGAGGUGGCCAGCAGGGAGAGGGAGGUGGUUGUCCCCCUCUACUCAGCUCUUGUGAGGCCCCAUCUGGAGUACUGCACCCAGGCCUGGGGCCCUGUAUGAGACCUGUUGAACUGCAACUCCACCUGUGUGACCGGAAGGGGUGGAGCCAGGCUCCACCUCUCCUAAACCCCAUUUAAGGGCUGACUGCCACGGAGGAAGGAUCGCUCUCUGAAGAUCACUCCUCUUGGAGCCCUUUUGGCGAGCCCUAGGACACGGGUAAGCUUCCUGUUCAUCUCUGAUUAUUCCUUUUCAAAGGCGAUAGUUUCUUAUAUCCGUAUCCUUAUUUGCUCUACAGGCUCCCAGUAGAGGAAGGGUGUGGAGCUGUUGGAGCGGGUCCAGAGGAGGGCCACUAAGAUGAUCAGAGGGCAGGAGCACCUCUCCUAUGAGGAAAGGUUGAGGGAACUGGGCUUGUUUAGCUUGGAGAAGAGAAGGCUCCAGGGGGACCUCAUUGUGGCCUUCCAGUACUUGAAGGGAGCGUAUAAACUGGAAGGGGAACGACUGUUUUUGAGGGUGGAUAGUGGUAGGACAAGGAGGAAUGGUCUUAAACUGAGACAGGGGUGGUUUAGGUUAGAUAUUAGGAGGAAGUUUUUCACCCAGAGGGUGGUGACGCACUGGAACAGGUUGCCCAAGGAGGUUGUGGAUGUCCCGUCGCUGGAGGCAUUCAAGGCCAGGCUGGAAGUGGCUCUGGGCAGCCUGCUCUGGUGGUUGGCGAUCCUCUGGUGGUUGGCACAUAGCCGGGGGGUUGAAACUCGAUGGUCAUUGUGGUCCUUUUCAACCCAGGCCAUUCUAUGAUUCUGUGAGAUUUUCCAGGACCCUUCCAAUGCAGGCAUGACUGGGAAGAGGCAGGGCUGCUGCAGCCCCAGCCCCACCUGACAUGCGAGAAAAGGUAUCAGCAGUUGUAGGUUUAUUUUUUUUGGAAAAAAAAAAAAAAAAAAAAGUAUACACAUUUUAAUAGUGCUAUAUUUAGGGUAGACUUGCGCUUUUAUUCGUAGUAAAGAACUUAAGAAGUGAAGUCCCAUUUUAGAAUCUUUCUUAUUGAAAACUAAGUCUGAUUCUUCUUGUUAUUUUUGCUUCCAUUUGGCCCGCUGAAUGCCAGAGGGUCAGUCAGCACUGAGACUGCCUGGGAAGCUUCUCUGUAGGGACGGGUGUCCCUGGAGCAGCGGGCCCAGGCCCAGUCUGUGCUGCUGCGUUCCUGCUGUGCCCCUCUCCUGGUCUCCCGCUGCCCUGCGUGACCAUGGCUGUGCAGCUGAUCCUGAUUGUCCCCUCUGUACGGCGUGUGUGCGUGCCACUAUGGGGUAGGGGCAUGUUUGACCUGCCCCAUUCUCCACCCCCUUCUUCCCCACAUCUGCCUCACUCUCAUCUGCCUGCUGCUGGCUUUGUUCCGGGCGCUGCAGUGCUCUGUGCCCAAAACUUACCACCAGGAGCUGUUCUACCGGCUGUGCCCACACCUCGCUGGCAUAUGUGUCUGAGAAGCCCCUGCACGUGGCCAGCGAGGACCUGCUGCCCUUUUGAAAUAAGCACUAAGCAGGGCUUAUUGUCACCAGGUAGCCAGACAAGAUGAGUGAGAAAAUGUAUGCUGUCUUUUGACACAAAUACAUAAGCCCCAUGUGGUGCCUGGUUCAGCAGUUCAGCUUGCCUUCACGCACUUUGCCUGGUCAUAGGGAAAGUGGCAGGCUCUGAUUCAAUGGCAGUGUUGUAUGGACACUGUAUUGGAUGUAUAUAGGCAAUGUAUUUGGAUGCUCUGCUUCCAAAAGUGCAACAGCUUCUGGAGACCCAGGUGGGACCCCAUAGGUGACGGUCCUCUCGGCACCAAGCGUCCAGUUGCCAGCAGCAGUGAGUUCACUUUGGGGGACUUUGGUGAUGGGAGGUGCCAACCAGCAAGCCUUCAAUUUCUGCUACUAAAUGCAGGCUUGGAAGCAAGCUACGUGUGGGAAAUAUACUUGGUGCAGGAAAGGGGAUGUCCUUAGCCAAGGUGCUGGAAAACUGAAGGAAAACAGAUGAAACUGCAGAUCUAUCAACAAAAACAGCCCCGGCCCACAGCCCAGAGGAAGAGACAGGCGUGCUUUCCUCCAGUGCUUCAGUGUGACCUUCCUGUGCAUUGGAGGCCUCCCAGUAAGAAAGCCCCCAGGAGCUGCAUCUUCUUCCAUGCGGUCCGUGAGGGAUGUGGCACAUGGCCUGGAGAGAGUAUUGUGUACGCUGCCAGGUGCCAGCCUACAGGUCAUCCUGGCCACUCUGCAACUUUGGGAAUCGUGACCUGAGUCCUUCUCCCAUCCCGUUCCACGGCCCAGCAACAUCCAGUUACUGAGGGAGAAGGAGAUCACACCAUCCAAUGGGACCUUCUUUCAUGUGUUCUU